AUGAUACAGUUGUUCAACUUUCUAUUCAUGUAUUAUAUUUUUGUAGGUUCUUCUCUGAAUGACAAGGUCCACCAGACUCCAAAGGACAUAUACAACACAAAGGGAACCAGCGCUAAAAUCCAAUGUUCCCAUGAGAUUGACAGCUACAACCGAAAUCCUCUGGUACAAACAGCUAAAAGAUGGACAGCUGCAGUUUCUAGUCUCAGACCGGCCGACAUGCAGACAUUACUGAUUUGGUUUUCACUUUUAGACAUUUGCUUUGCUUCUGUUCAAAUCCAACAGUCUCCAUCAGAUGUCUUCAAAAACUCAGGAGAACAGAUUGAAAUAGUCUGCAGCCAUAACAGAACGGAUUAUACCAUGAUGCACUGGUACCAAAAAUUACCUGGGGACCUGUCAAUGAAACGUAUUGGACAUAUAAACUAUGGAAGCAAAGACUAUGAGGAGUCCUUAAAGAAACAUUUUGAAUUCACCGGAGAUUUGAGCGGGGAAAAAGCCAAGAGAGCUUCCAUGAUUAUAAAGGAUGUACAACCCGAGCAAAGUGCGAUAUAUUACUGUGCAGCUAGUGAUGCACAAUGA